UACGGGGGGGGGCAAGCGUUGUUCGGAAUUACUGGGCGUAAAGGGCUCGUAGGUGGCCAACUAAGUCGGACGUGAAAUCCCUCGGCUUAACCGGGGAACUGCGUCCGAUACUGGUUGGCUUGAGUUUGGGAGAGGGAUGCGGAAUUCCAGGUGUAGCGGUGAAAUGCGUAGAUAUCUGGAGGAACACCGGCGGCGAAGGCGGCAUCCUGGACCAAUACUGACGCUGAGGAGCGAAAGCCAGGGGAGCGAACGGG
rnacentral:rRNA from 1 species